CAAUAAAGUACUUCCGUAUCGAAGGUAAAAUCGUCUGCUACCGCAUUUACGCUUGAAAACGGGACAUUUCUACAAUGGACUGGCUUUUAAUCACUAAAGGUAAUUCGAGCACCACAUUG